rnacentral:rRNA from 1 species
AUUGAACGCUGGCGGCAGGCCUAACACAUGCAAGUCGAACGGUAACAGGAAGCAGCUUGCUGCUUUGCUGACGAGUGGCGGACGGGUGAGUAAUGUCUGGGAAACUGCCUGAUGGAGGGGGAUAACUACUGGAAACGGUAGCUAAUACCGCAUAACGUCGCAAGACCAAAGAGGGGGACCUUAGGGCCUCUUGCCAUCGGAUGUGCCCAGAUGGGAUUAGCUAGUAGGUGGGGUAACGGCUCACCUAGGCGACGAUCCCUAGCUGGUCUGAGAGGAUGACCAGCCACACUGGAACUGAGACACGGUCCAGACUCCUACGGGAGGCAGCAGUGGGGAAUAUUGCACAAUGGGCGCAAGCCUGAUGCAGCCAUGCCGCGUGUAUGAAGAAGGCCUUCGGGUUGUAAAGUACUUUCAGCGGGGAGGAAGGGAGUAAAGUUAAUACCUUUGCUCAUUGACGUUACCCGCAGAAGAAGCACCGGCUAACUCCGUGCCAGCAGCCGCGGUAAUACGGAGGGUGCAAGCGUUAAUCGGAAUUACUGGGCGUAAAGCGCACGCAGGCGGUUUGUUAAGUCAGAUGUGAAAUCCCCGGGCUCAACCUGGGAACUGCAUCUGAUACUGGCAAGCUUGAGUCUCGUAGAGGGGGGUAGAAUUCCAGGUGUAGCGGUGAAAUGCGUAGAGAUCUGGAGGAAUACCGGUGGCGAAGGCGGCCCCCUGGACGAAGACUGACGCUCAGGUGCGAAAGCGUGGGGAGCAAACAGGAUUAGAUACCCUGGUAGUCCACGCCGUAAACGAUGUCGACUUGGAGGUUGUGCCCUUGAGGCGUGGCUUCCGGAGCUAACGCGUUAAGUCGACCGCCUGGGGAGUACGGCCGCAAGGUUAAAACUCAAAUGAAUUGACGGGGGCCCGCACAAGCGGUGGAGCAUGUGGUUUAAUUCGAUGCAACGCGAAGAACCUUACCUGGUCUUGACAUCCACGGAAGUUUUCAGAGAUGAGAAUGUGCCUUCGGGAACCGUGAGACAGGUGCUGCAUGGCUGUCGUCAGCUCGUGUUGUGAAAUGUUGGGUUAAGUCCCGCAACGAGCGCAACCCUUAUCCUUUGUUGCCAGCGGUCCGGCCGGGAACUCAAAGGAGACUGCCAGUGAUAAACCGGAGGAAGGUGGGGAUGACGUCAAGUCAUCAUGGCCCUUACGACCAGGGCUACACACGUGCUACAAUGGCGCAUACAAAGAGAAGCGACCUCGCGAGAGCAAGCGGACCUCAUAAAGUGCGUCGUAGUCCGGAUUGGAGUCUGCAACUCGACUCCAUGAAGUCGGAAUCGCUAGUAAUCGUGGAUCAGAAUGCCACGGUGAAUACGUUCCCGGGCCUUGUACACACCGCCCGUCACACCAUGGGAGUGGGUUGCAAAAGAAGUAGGUAGCUUAACCUUCGGGAGGGCGCUUACCACUUUGUGAUUCAUGACUGGGGUGAAGUCGUAACAAGGUA